rnacentral:rRNA from 1 species
UAGGGAAUAUUAGUUAAUGUGCGAAAGCGCGAACUAGCAACGCCGCGUGUGCGAUGAAGGUCUUCGGAUCGUAAAGCACUUUUCGAGAAGAUGAGGAAGGACAGUACUCUCGGAAUAAGUCUCGGCUAACUACGUGCCAGCAGCCGCGGUAAAACGUAGGAGGCAAGCGUUAUCCGGAUUUACUGGGCGUAAAGCGCGUGCAGGCGGUUUGGUAAGUUGGAUGUGAAAGCUCCCGGCUCAACUGGGAGAGGUCGUUCAAAACUACCAGAGUUGAGGGCGGGAGAGGGAAGUGGAAUUCCGUGUGUAGUGGUGAAAUGCGUAGAUAUACGGAGGAAGACCAGGGGCGAAAGCGGCUUCCUGUACCGAUCCUGACGCUCAGACGCGAAAGCUAGGGGAGCAAACGG